AGCCGCUGAUGACCAAACUAAGUUACUUUUCUGACACCUCGUAUGAGAGCUAAGCUCCUCUGAUUCUAACUCUGAUCUGAGGCUC